CAUUUUAAUAUAGUCAUACUGGGACAUUUUAAGUUAGGUACGUCCCAGGAAGUGUGCCUGCAGAGGACGUUCACCACUUAUGGCAACCUGGAGCCGUCUGUUUUACUGCAGUUUCACCACUGGUCCUACGUCAGGCAUCCGCAAGCACAAGAUAAAAAAAGUCGAUCUCGACUAAAUUUGAACUCAGGACGUAAAGCCGGAAGAAAUGUUAUUAGGUUCAACGCAUUAAUUACUCUGCCAUCUCGCUGCCUGCUUUCAUUUAUAAGUAAUGAAUCACGAAUGUUUAAAUUGGUUGGCUUUUAAGCUCCAUAUGUGAAACAAACAGCCGGAAUACAAGUGAAAUCUCUACCAAAUAGGUUCAGCACAAAACAUAGAGGAGCUCACACAUAUUACUAACAACCCCAACGAAAACCGUAUUGUGCAACCACAUUUAUACGAAGAAAUGUGUACAUCAUCAAACAAAGAUAAUUGUCUACACAACAAAAAUUAGGUAAAACCCAAAUAAACACUGCCAGUCUUCUGCUCAAUUCACACAAAUGAAAAUUAGCAGAAUAUGCUUAUAUUCAACACAAAGAUUUUACCGAUAAUCUCUCCGACAAUGAAUAAUUUUGUUAAAAGGCUGGAGGGAAAAUAUUUACGGUCUAAAGGUAAUAUUUGAUCCUCACAGACUAUCGGGUUUAGAAGACCUAAAAGAAAUAUCAAAUAUAACACUAGAACGAUGAAAAGAACAUGCCGAAAAUACAAGAAGAUUUUUUUUCUUUAUCUUUUUUUUUACUUCAUUUAUUCAUUGGAUCUCGGUUAUUGUGGUGUACCGUCAAGUUGCUUCAGCUGAACAAAUCGAUUUAUUUUUAAGGGUGGUACUUAUUUUAUAGUUUUCUUUGCCAAACAAACAACGAGCAGUGGACUGGAGGUUAACACACAUAUAAACAUAGAAGACGGCUUCCAUAUAAUUUUCGUCUACCAAAUUCAAUGACAAUCCUUUGGUUGACCAAGGAAAUACUGGAAGACACUCGCUGAAUGUGCCGCGCAGUGGAACAGAACCCGAAAUCACGACUUUGUAAAACAAACUUCUAAAUUACAAAAGCUUGUAAAAAUUAAAAUACAUGAAUAAAAAAUUGAGCACAUAAACCGCGAAGAUAGGUGCGAAAUGUGUGAAGCAAAUUACAGAACAAAAUAACCUGUAAACAUAACUUAUACCACAAAGAAAAAUAUUAAGAGAUACUAAAAAAAGAUUGAAGAAUAAAAUAUCCUGGGGUGAAACAUUUUUAGAACGAAAAGCGAUAGAUCUUCUCUGAAGCGACGAAAACCUACCAACAGCGAUGUAACUUAACGAUAGAAUAAUAACAAUAAUAUAAAAAUCAAAAUCUGGUCAUCGUAGAUUUAGUAGGGAUGGGUAUAAGAAUCAAUAGUUCCAGAAUAAACAGAAUUGUAGUCGCCAAAAUGAUUACAAAGGAAAGUAGGUUCUUUAGCAGGUUUAUAUAUGUGGGGUUAUGAAAUCCCUAAGUACUUCGAAUGCAUGUAUAUAGUGGAAUAUAAAAAUAAGAUUUGAUAAAGGAUACGAUCUUUCCCCUCUGUUAAAUCACUAAAGGAAAGACACAAAUAUAUAAGAAAAAAGAAAAAUACUAUACAUUUAGAACAUAACACAAUUGAAGUGUCUUCUAUCAAAGAACAUCGGAAACAAUACAUCCGUUAUAAAGACUCUGCCGUUAACAAAGUUGAUAACGAUUCUUUGAAUAAAACAAUCAAGCGACGACAAUCCUAAAAAGCAAACAUGACCAAGGGGAAAGAAUAAAAACCACUUCAGCGGCAAGAAAAGUAGAAUUAUUCUCAGAAGAACAAUAAUGUUUGCGACAGCAUGAGUAUCAUCAAGGGCGAUAUCGUUUAAUAUUGAAAACAAUUCGAAUGCCAUAUCAGCUUCAAACGGAGGAGAGGUGCUAUAAACAAAAGUCAACAAGAAAAAGUGAUAGAAAGAAGAGUAAAGAACAAAACACCAACUUUAAUUUGUAAUGAUAAACAAGCAUAUUUAAAAGCACAAUAUUCUAAAGAAAUAUUUAAUAACUGACAUAAAGAGCUAGAAAAAUACCUGGCAUAUAAAUUACCAAUGCUACACAUUUGCAUAUAUACAGAAAAUGCAGACAUUUCUUUUUUAUGUAGAGUAUUUUGAAUAUAAUAGGAAACACACGACCACGUUAUUUGACUGCAAAGCAAUCAGAACUCGGUUUAUAGCAGGCGUAAUUGACAAACCUACGCAUUUCAUAAUUUCUGGCAUAA